AGUGGGCCAUUUUCCCCUUCAAAGGGGAGGAAAAAUAAGAAGAAAGAAAGAAAGAAAGAACUAGGGCCCCGGUGGGGCACUGUCGGGCCCGAGCCGCGUCGCGCCGCCCCCAGCGCGACCGCCUCCCUGUCCCAUUCACGUCCUCUGGCUGUCGCCCUCUCUGGUGACGCCCAUCACUGCAAAGACCCUUUUCCUUCAUCUGUGUUAGCUGUUCUUCCUGCCAGUGCAUGUUGCUUUCACUUACACUUGCCACAGCCAGCCUUGUGAGUGCCUAGCCUAUUGGAUAUCACGGUCACCUACACAGGACAGUCAUUACCUUUCUAUUAAUACUUUGUUUUUAAUUUCACAUUAAUUUCCAUAUUGUAUAAACGACUGGAAAAAACUUGAGCCCCUGCCCCUGUAUAAUCAUGUGCACGUCCCUGUUCUAGCUCCAAGGUGAAUCUUCACUGCUCAUGUUCUCCUCAGAAGCAGUCACCUCACUCCCCUCAGGUUACUAUACACAUGCACCAACUGCCUGCUUCAGGUUUGGAUGGAGCUUCAUGUUUGUCUUUUGGAGAAAUGAGCAGUCAAGUUGUGUUUGAAAUUUGAUUUUUUUCAGGGGCAAAAGGAGCCUCUGCAUUCUUGUCAAAUAUGUAAAUAGCAUGUUUUUGCAGGUGCUAAAAAAAGACUCUGAGUGUGUGUGUGUGUGUGUGUGUGUGUGUGUGUGUGUGUGUGUGUGUGUGUGUGUGUGAAUCCUGCAGUACUCUGAGAAGAAUAAGCAUAUUUCUGAGGUGAAUUUUGAAGAUUCAUCUGAGAGUCAGGAGGGCUGAUCAUUCCCUUACCCUUUAGAUGUCUGUCUAUGUCUGUUUUUGUGUAAUAAUGAAAGAAUCCCAACACAAAAAGGCUCUGUUGAUGUUUUUUUUGUUGUUCAUUCAUAUUCAAACCACUAUUUUAUAUCACUGCUAAUACGCCAAGACCAUUUUAUGGUAUUUAGCUUUAUUAUUUCUAUGCAUUUUGCAAGGACAGAAACCAAGGCCUUCACUAAAAUUUCCAUAAACUUUAGGAAAGGACCUCUGGUUGUUUAAGGGGGUCAUUUCUGCAAAAACAUAUUCUUCCUAAAUUUUGAAGGUCAAACCUUAGAUCCAUUAGGUUUAAAUAGAAAAAGCAUUAAAAUAUGUUAGGAUUAUAGCAUAUGACAAAUGUGUGCCUCUCAAUGGCCAUAACUACUUUGUCUGCUGGCUCUGCAGUCGAUUGACGCUCCCCAGCGUUCAAGUCACAUGACAUAUUUAACCGGAUGUAGCUGCAAGACGGAGCCUCGUUGACUCUCCGUUUCAACUUAUCUCCAAAGUGAGGACCUUAAACUAUAUACCAGUUUUUAAAUUGUGUUGAUAGGCCAAAUAAAACCAGAGUUAUGAUAAAUUAUGUCUGCAAUACUUUUUUUCUGCUUAUUUUGAUCACGUUCGGCGCUCGAUCGCGUUGUAUGAGACAGGAAAACAUAGCAUGCAGACAUUAGCGACAGGUCUUACAGGCGGAAAAGGCUUGCCAAAAGAAAAAAAAAACACACCACAACAUUUCUCCUAUUGGUGGAAAACUUCACCACAACAACCAAUCCAAAAUUAUAUGGUGACUGAUUGACAAGGGGCGGGCGCUUACGGUCUUCCUGCAACAUGAGAAGGGAGGGAGGGACUCUCAGCAGGGAUGCAGUCUGGGACACGUAGUUGCAAACCUAGCGACUUUGUUGUUAGAUUCAAAGACUUUUCAGACCACCUAACGCCUUUUUUUUUUUAGAAAGAAAGGGACUUCUAUCGACUUCUUCUGGAGUUUAGAGACUCAGACAUGAAGCAGGCUUUCCUUACUGAGGAGUUAGCAACGCUGCUAAUGGUGCAGAGCCACACAUGUGCUCCGAGCUCUGCAUGAAGCUGACAGAUCUGCAGCAGUUAGCAGGUUUCACCCUCAGAGACCACCAGGGGUUCAUGUUGAGGCAUUUUCAGUUUUUUUUUUUUUUUGCCAUAGACACUGUCAGCACAAUCUGCAGUUACACUAACAAAAAUGCUGCAAAAAACAAAGAAUUAUGGAAAAAUUACACAUGGACUAACAUAGAGGAGGAUCUACACAAGUUUUUUACAUCAUGUUUUACAUCAUGCAUCAUUUACAUCAUGAUUUUUUGUAGUGGCAUAAAUAAAAGUGACAUUUGUGAGACUAUACAGCGUUUUGUAAAUAAUUUUACAAAGAACGCCUGGGCCAUUGCCUGCAUUUUGAUGUAAAUAGAGGUAAAUUACUAUGUUCUUUGUUAAAAAUUUGCAUAUGUUUUGAAGUUUACAAUUUUUAUUUGAAGUUUAAGUUUUAAAAACAGUUCAUCACACAUAUUUGUGGUUUUCACAGUAAAAAUGUUACUUUUUUCCACUCGGAUUUUAUGUUUUGUGUGUGAAUUUGGGUCCAUUGUGUAAAUACAGUAUGUCAAAAUGAUAAAAUAACUGUAAAUUCACACAGGUGAGGUUGUGCUGAAAAAAAUGAUACCAGGCAAGGCAAGGUAAAAAAAUUUUAAGAGGAAAUAUAAAGGUAAAAUCUAAAGUAGUCAAAAACGGCCAAUAGUGACUCCCAGACUCAAUAGACAAGUCCCUUUGGCGCCACUCAGUGGGCAAAACUACUUUGUCUGCUGUAAUGUAUAUUUGGGUCAUCUUUGGCGCCCCCUAGAACCUAAACCGUGGAGUGCAGCGUCAUGAUUUGUACAACUUUGAAUGGCCAUGGGGUGUAGAUUGGCCUGAGCAAAUUUGGUGGCGGUGGAACUAAAGCCUUCGGAGGAGUUAGCGAAAUUCCAAUGUGUGCGGAUCGGGAAAAAAUGCAAAAUAACCCUUUAACCGUACAUUUUACAGAUACGUGCCUAUUGACUUUUUCGUAGAUCUUAUUGAGAUACACGUGAUUGUCAAAUUUUGGGUCAAUAUGACAAAGCGUAUAGGCGUGACACUCAACAAUGUGUAUUUUCACCUUAGGGGACAAGAAAAAAUGGACUUUUUUCUCCUGCCAUGUGGGGGCGCUCUUUUGGGGAGUAAAAAUUCCUUCACAAAUGUGUUGAUGGCUGGACAUUGCAUCAUCCUAGAGAACUUGGAGGCCAGUGAGGACAAAAAUAAAAAGUUAUAAGACUUAUAAGACUGUGGAUUUUUGGGUUAUCUUUGGCGCCCCCUAGAACGUAAACCGUGGGGUGCAGCGUCAUGAUUUGUACAACUUUUAAUGGCCAUGGGGUGUAGAUUGGCCUGAGCAAAUGUGGUGCCGGUGGAACGAAUGCCUUCGGAGGAGUUAGCGAAAUUCCAAUGUGUGCAGAUCGGCAAAAAAUGCGAAAUAACCCUCUAACCGUACAUUUCACAGAUGCGCCCACGCUGACUUUUUCGUAGACCGUAUUGAGAUACACGUGUGUGUCAAUUUUUGUGUCAAUAUGACAAAGCGUACAGGCGUGACAGUCAAUAGUGUGAAUUUUCGCCUUAGGGGGCGCUAUGGAGCCAUUUUGCAUUUUAUUGUUUGGGCGACUUCAGAAUAUCGAAUUUUUCACCAGGCCCGGUCGUCCUGCCAAAUUUCAUGAGUUUUCGCCAGUGGGAAGUGGGCCAUUUUCCCCUUCAAAGGGGAGGAAAAAUAAGAAGAAAGAAAGAAAGAAAGAACUAGGGCCCAGUUGGGGCACUGGCGGGCCCGAGCUGUGUCACGCCGCCCCCAACACGACCGCCUCUCCCUCCCGAUCGCGUCACACUCAAGGUUCAACGAUUGUGUGCGCACUUGUCUGUGGUCAUUUACCAUUAUAAUGAAUGGGAGGCGCAGUUUCUACCAAAACGCU
rnacentral:lncRNA from 1 species